GUCUGUGGCCAGGCAGUGUGAAGACGGUAGAGCAGGGAAGUGCUCACAUUUCAGGCUCCUUGUGCAUACAAUUCAAGGUGGAAGGAAAUAAUAUAAAAUAAAUGAAUAACAUACUCGAUUGUUGGAGGGUUGGAAGUUGAGAGGUUGGUGUAUGAGCUUUUGAACACUUCUUUGUAGUUAGUUUGGCAGAUUAACAUGAAAAUGGUGCUGCAUGGUUGUGGGAGCAUAGAACUUGAGGUUUUUGGUGAGGUCAACGUGGAGAAAAUUUAAUGUAAAGUUACUUGAAAUUUCUUCAACAGAGGUGGAUUAUACAAAUCCAGAUGAUUAGGCUACACAGAGGCAGAAGAGUUGCGUAGGUGGCAAGUGAGGAAAGCUACAAGUAAGGUGGGGAUCAGACAGGGGGGAGCCAACUGAAGCACACAGGCCCUUCUUCUACUGUGGGGGUAUGGCGACCAUGCGGGGAACGGUUGUGAGGGUGAGUUAUGGCGGGUUUUAUGCCUUCAGAAAAUAGCAAUUCUAGACGCGGAAUGUGGCGGUGGAGUCAUCGAGGACGAUCUUCUGUCACCCGGCAGCAGCCCCAAUACUCCGCAGUCGACAUUCUCCCGAGUGUCUCCACGCCCUACAGGAAUCCAUCGCAGCUGAUGCGUGUCGGCGAAUCUAUAUCUAACUCUCGCUCGCUCACCUUAUUUUUUUUAUAUAUAAAAACAUAUCUACAGAUAUAGCAUUAAUGAGGCUUCGUGAGACUUUAACUGCCGUCACCAGAGAGCUUCUCAUGAGCCUACGCUGUUUUAGUUUUCGCACGGUGUAUUUUUCGGAGGAAGAUGCGGCCAUUGGAGUUCAGGAGAUCGCUACGAAGUGGGGAGGCUAUUUCACAGCGGGCGGAUUCUCUGUUGCCCCCCCCCCCCCCCCCCCCCCCCCCCGAAACGAAGCCCUGCUUGGUGAGCGGAGCUCGUUUUCGGUCGGCAAUUGGGAACUGUUACAAGUUGGUAAAUAGCUGCCAAGGCUACGUAACCAAAAGCCUUUGAGAACUUGUGUGGGACCGUGUAGAGUGUUAUGGAAGGUGAUGGCUAUGGUGGUGGUUUCAAUUUUUCUGCGUCUUCUUCUGCGCAAGAGUAGCGCGCUUGUCCACCUUCUGCACUUUCUUCAAAAUGGUCUCCGGCUUUGUGCUGCACUUCACAUACACCUUGUUUAGAUCCUGUUCGCAAUCCACCUUCUCCACCCCUGAAUCAGCAACCACAACACUGUCAAUAUCUCAAAAAGUGCAGACCUGGCAGAAAACUUAGUCCUCGAAGCAGGAAGGACGAGCGUAAUGGCCAGCGUGUGAAGUUCCGGAGGGAAAUUAGUGAAGAAGACAGACCUUCGACAUCGUCGAGAGCCUUUUUCACAUUCCGCACACAGUUGCCGCAGCACAAUUUUACGUUAAGCUCAAUUGUUUGUAUCUUCGAUUUAACUUCUCCAGGCUCCUCCGGUUUCUUCGCCGGAGCUGAGCCGGAUGGCUUGGCUUUAAUUUCACCCUCGAUGAACUUGGGGUCCUUCUUGACUCCUGGGAUAAACAUCUGCAAUCAAUAUGCACACCAACACCAUCAGCACCGCGAAUCAUCCGCUUGGAAACAAAACAUCCUGACAAGUUGAAAAACCUGAAUUGCAAGUACUCGCAACCAUCAGUUUAUCAUCGAGCUCACUUCAUCAAGGAAGACGAGUUUCUGGUCCCCAGAUAUGAAAUAAUACGGUCGGGGGUCACGGAAGUUCUCCAUGGCGCUGGAAGGCUUGAACGAUGAAUUCUGUUUUACAGACGAUGCACCAAUUCGUCUUGACGGAACUGACAAUGCGAAUCUCCCUACGAAACCAUAUAGCGAUGGAGGAGAAAGAGCAACUCUGGUGGCUAAAUACUGCGAACCCGCAGCGUGACGCAUACGUCACGACCCCCUUUUGGAGGUACGCGUUGAUUCCGAUGCCCCAACUUCUGAUAAGACGCGCACGCGCGUCGACUUACGGACUCUGGUGGUCUGUUCCGACAAUAUGGUAAUCCUACUGCAGACAUUGUACAGACACCCGAUUCACAACACUGCUGGUUGCUGAGGCUGCCUCGCAACCCAGAUUGGGGGAAGCAGGCUCCUUACGGGACACGUUACUCGAGCACAGUGCUCCUCGUCCAGUUGGCCAAAGUUUUUCGGAGGUGAUCUUAUCUGGCCACUCAGGGUUGCACCAUUCCUUUCAGAAGUUUAGUACUGGUGUACAAUUUUAUUAUUUUUUUUUUCGUGUACAUAAAUGAUAUUUUAAGUUGAGAAUAUUUGUGGCACAUUUCAAGGCAAUAGAAGAACAUGCAAACCGCCUCAAACUAGUGAUCAAGAAAUUGAAGAAUAACAAGCAGAAUUUUGAUAGUGAAAGGAGUGAAUAUGAAUGGUUUGAAAAUAAUUUGUAAAAUCUCUGUAGUGAAUAGUACCUGGAAGGCUCAUCUGACACAUGCUACAGAAUGUAGUAGCCAUUCUACCAGAUGUGGGUACAUACUUGAAUACGGUAAAUCAACACUGAACAUAGUAUUCUGCAUGCUUCGCCAUUGCUCUUGGGUAGGUCACACUGCUCUUGCGAAAGUCUUUCUACAUCAAAGACGCAUGUAAGACGUUGACAAAUCGGUUGGUUUUGUCAUUCCUAACAGCUCAAAUUUUUGGAGUCCUGCCAUUCUGAGACUAAAAGAAUCACACAAUCCGCAAGUAGGUGCAAGAUUCUUGCGAUUUAAGGUCAAUGAAUAUAAGAGUCGGAGCAAAUUGCAAUUGAACACGUGCUCCUGUUCACGCGUGCGGCAAACACUGAAAAAAUGGAAACGGUACACAAUAACGCUAGUCAUGUCAAAUCUCAUAUAUGGGACAAUGAAACUUCAAUAUACAAGCUAAGCCCGCAAAGGUCAAAACAGGCGUGGAAGAAUUAGGGCCAAAACCCGUAAAAUCUCCUGCGUUGAGGAUCUAAGAAUCUAGCUGCUCUAGCCUCACUCAUGCUUCCUACAGGUUUUGAACUACCCAGUGCAUACCAUGAAGUUCUUGGCAGUGAAGCAGCCUUUGGAGGGGCAGAAACACUGUAGCGUCUGAAUGAAUCCGAAAGUUGUCGUAAGAACCCUCCAGAGCCACUCAUAGUAGCCGAAGCAGAAAGAGGUUUCCGCUUUCGCUGUUCAAGAUCCAAGGUUUCGAAGGGCCCCGAGUCGUAAUCAACACUAAUAAAGGUGGCGUCCCGCAGAAAUCCUGUGUUCUGUGUUUCGGCCAAGUCAGAAGUGGGAGAAACUGUUCCUUUAGCCUGUCCGACGUCUUUGGCUUCUGUUUCAUUGCACACAAGUUUCAAGGCCUGCACCACCUCGCCCAUGAAUGGUCGAUGAGAGACUUCAGGUUGUACACACAUGGACGCUAUUGCAGCUACCUUCGCAAAGUGGUCAAAUGGAAAGUUGUCUUUGAGGUAAGGAUCCACAAGCUGCUCUAGUCCAUCCUUGCUUGUAAGGAGUGGGCGUGCCCAAGUAACUAGAUUCUCUUGUCCAGGUGGUUGAGACAUAUCCACGGGUUUACGCCCCGAGAGGAGCUCGAGCAGUACCACUCCAUAACUAUAAACGUCACUCUUCACAAGCAAAUGUCCUGUCAUUGCGUAUUCAGGAGCCACAUAUCUGCAGUUUAGAUCCAAUAUUUUGUCAGUGCAGAAACCAAGGCACGAUCCUAAUAGUGACAAAUAUGGCCAUUUUGGAGGUAAUCCGGUGCAAAGAAACAACUCAUUCUGGACUUGUUUCACUCGGAACCAGUAUACUAAAUACUUUCCAAUUACAUGCAUGGGAUUUUAUGAGGAGGAACUUCUUUUACGAAGAUGUCGCUAACCCAGUUCUUUAAGGAGAUGGACGGAACGGCAAGCUUACCCAAACGUGCCCAUUACUCGAGUGGAAAUAUGCUCCUUGCCUCCCUCAGUUGCCGAUUUAGCUAGACCAAAAUCAGAUACUUUUGGAGUGUAAUCGUCCUCAAGUAGAAUGUUGCUUCCUUUAAAAUCUCUAUGAAUAACCCUAGGCUGAGAAUCUUCGUGCAGGUAUGCCAGCCCACGAGCAGCUCCUAAUGCAAUUUUAACACGUGCAUCCCAGUUGAGAGGAGCAGUGUAUUUAUCUAGACCUGGAGGUUGCACAACAAAGUUCAGCUAAAUUAGACACAAUUUGUGGUCAUAUCUCCGUAAGUGACGUGCAAACCAACAACAUCAAAGUGGUCUACAGUAUCCAGGAGUACGUACCAUGCAAGUGAGAUUCCACGCUCCCGUUCGUGAUGAGCUCAUAAACCAAACAUCGUAUUUCCUCAGUACAGAUGCCAAUUAGCUUCACAAGGUUGCGAUGGUGCAAUCUGCUUAACAUUUCUACCUCCGCAACAAACUCACGACCACCCUCAUGAUCAUCCCUUGUCAGCACCUUUACAGCCACUUCAAUACCACUAUCAAGUACCCCUUGGUAAACUCGACCAAAGCCCCCUUCGCCGACUACAUUAUCAGGUCUAAAAUUAUCUGUUGCUCUUUCUAAUUCUGCUAAAGUGAACGUCUUAGCAGUGCAUGUGUAGUUGGCCAUGCUAGAUCCAUAAGAAAUCGUUGUAGAGCUUGCCAUACUUCCUGAUAAUAAUGACCCUGCAAUAGCAAAGAAAGAGCUUAGAACGUCCAGUUUAUCAAGGAUGAAAAUCAAGAACAUAAGCAGGAUCAUACAUGAAGAUGGUAUUCUGUGUAGAAGGUACUGCCACUGGGUAGACGUUAUUGAUAACCUUUUUAACCAACAGCUAUCACUAGGCCAUAUUAGGACAGAGGAUUGAUCAAAAAAAUAACCAUACAAACUAGAUGAUAAACAAUGACCAUAGAUCAUUGCGUCUAAAAACAUGUCGAGAUGAAAGUACGGGACAAGGACUGGGAGCUGUACGAAUCUAAAGAGAAAAAUAUUGGCAACCAGCAAGACUAGCCAAAAGUCCAACUAACGAAUACGAAAGACAUUUCACAAUCUUCUAGAAGAAACAUCAUGAUAUUUUCCUAUGAAAAUCAAAUGCGACACAACUCGAUGGAUCAGGUGCACACCUUCAGGUUUAGAGUUGAAAUAAGCAUUCAUUCUCAGUUGGAUCAGUUGCACACCUUCAGGUUUAGGGUUGAAAUAAGCAUGUAGAGGACCGACAACCGAAGGCGAAGUUUUCUCAUCCAGGCUGCGGCGUAGGAGAAUGAGCCAUACAAUCCCAAUAAAUAACAAUACACCCAUAACCGAAGCCAAAGCAAUCACGGUAAUCAUUCCCGAACUGAGUUUAUGAUUUGUUUUAUUUGGAUCCACCCCAGAUGGAAGCUGGUUGACAGGACCUGAAGGUGAAAUAUUCCCAGGGAACUGGGGAGGUGGAGAGGGAGGAAGACCUGCAAAACAAAAACUCCCCAUGAAUUAGGCUGACAUGCAAAUAAUUGCUCGUUAAGCCACUAACAAGAAAUUAUGACUAGACAUUUAUAUGUAAGUCGUGAUGGACCUGGGCUUUCAACAUUAUAUUAAAUUGAGGCACAGCGACUGAUUACCUGGGUAAAUUAUAUAAAUAACAUAGUAGGUUCCAAAUAGUGUCUUGUUCAAUGGAACUUCACCACUCCACAAGCGUGUAGCAAGAAGAUGGGCAGUGGUGUGAUCAAAUUUGGUAUCUAGCGGCACAAAAUCUGCACUCACGUUUGUCUUGUCCUGGUUGGGUUCAACAGCAUUGGCUCCUACAAUACGGACUUGACUAGUUUGUAAGAAGAGUCCAAUGGCCAGUUCCUUGGCCAGCUCAGCCACUAGAGGAAAAAACUUUUCCAGCUUGAUUUCAAGCCGAAAUUGAGCGCGCAUGGGGAUGACACAGCUACAUGAUGGAGCGCCUGGCGGCGUGUAGGUGUAGCCAUCUGGACAAGCUUGGUGGCAAUCUGUUGAACCAACAUAAAUUCUCAAAAUCGUUUGGUGAGAUUCGUCAUAAAUACAGCGCUGAAUCCAGAAGCUGUAACUACCAAGAAAUGCUGGAAUAUAAAUUAUGGUACAACAAUAAGAGAAGCAGCAGAUAAGAGGCACGUCGCACCCAAAGAAAAUUGCAUCCCAGGUGUCUCACCUUCUGGAUAGGUGAAAUUAAAGGAUGGAGGACUAAUAGGUUCAAGUGGAGACGGCGCUGCAGACUCAGCUGAACAUAGACACAUGAUGCAGUGUAGAAUAGCCAGGAUCAGAAGGAUGCUAUAACAACAAUAUGUUUAAUGCCAUACAAAGGCCGCGGGGUCAUCGAAAACGUGAAAGUUAACACCCAAGUAGCACUCUAACAACGAAAUAUAUUAUGAUAGCCUGAAAGAGGAACUAUCCAAUCAAAGAAAAAUCAAUUAUCAGGCAGAACAGUUUCGAGAUUUAAGAUGACUUUCAUGAUCAAUUCAAACAAAGAAAUAACCCAGUAUGCAGCAAAAUCACCUGCUGCAGGGACUUCUGAAGGUGUGCUUGAAGGGGUGUCUCCUUCAGGUGGAACAGAUGUUGCAGACACAGCCUGAGGUGCAGAUGGACCAGGUAAAUCUGUUAAAGAUAUGGAUUCAUCAGUAGAAUUUCUCCCAUACAUUUCUUCACGGGAAGACAGAGAUGGUCGUCUUUUUGCAAAAUGAAACAAAGAGGAGUCUCCAGGGAACAAUGAUCCUCUGCCAGAAGGUACUUCUACUGCAAUUCUGUCUCGGUUCUUAUUAAUGCGGCAUGCUGUAGUGUCCUCAGGCUUAUCUACACCAUGUAUCAACAAAAGGAAUAAGAUGCUAGAGGAAAAUAGUAUUAAGAAGACGGAGAAACAAAUAAACCAGCUUUAUCUGGGCACUCUGGAUAAAAUCCGUCAAGCCAUUCACCCCCCUACAAAAUUACGCUUCAGUUGCCAGAUCGGAAAAUGUCCACUCGGAAUGUUAGUAAGAUAGAUAAAAUACAGAACUUCGGGGUGAAAUCGUACUAACCGUAAGUGAAGCCCCCAGUUGUUGCCGUCAGUAGUAACACGAUCAGCAACUCUGCAAUCCACCAGUGAUUGCCACGCAUUGUGACAAACGCUUAAACACAUGAAUACCGUUGAAUGUAGCCCACUAGAGGCUACUACAAUCGCUCUGCUUGUCUCAGCUGAAGCUUCGAAUUGUUUGAAUAAGUAUAAUGAGGUCGAAGUUACAACCCCACCUAGACGAACUGUGAAAGAUUGUCGAGGUCCUCCAACCACCCUCGAAAUAAAAAACCAUAAUAAGUACCACGAUUGCAGAAAAAAUGCUUGAUAAGCUUUUGGAAUCACUGCGUGCAGUCAAAAUCAGACCUCCAAAUGUUCAUAUCCAAUGCAUCCAUGACCUUCCCUCCAUCAUUCACAAUUCUAGCGUGUGGGCAUGCCAUUCCACUAUCUCCUGUGUUCAUGCGUCCUGAAAUGCAUCCCCCACAAUCCUACAGUUUUUUUGCUUCGGCGUUGAAGUCCAGUAAAAUGGGACAGUUGAUCGCGGUGCCAAGUCCAAGCCCCACAACUCCGAUUAGCUAGAGGUCCACGUUGCCGCAUGAGAAACUGGUAUUGGGAGACUCCCAUUGUUCGGACCUUUUAAGUGCUGAAUAAACUGACUUGUAUGAGGAAUUUCCUCGUUUUGUGACAUCUGCAAUGGCAAUAUGUUCCAUUAAAAAGAUAUGGCGCCAAAAGUACAAUGAAAUCCAAAACGACAAAUUCAAGCCGGUGAAUUUGAGGUAAGGUGACGUUCAAUAAGGCUGUUUACGACAAAAACUUAUCUAGAAACUCAAAGGUGACAAGUAAAUGAAUCAUAAUUUCCAGGCUCACGUUCCUUAUGCCGACAACAGUCACUUCAGAUUCAGUUUCAAACCUAAAUCUAAAAGACACUUAUAAGGCCAUUGAAAAAUGAGAGUCAACAUUUCGGUGAGCAUACAAAAAUGUCAUAACAUCUAAGUCCAACUUCGAGGGCAGUCAAAAGCUUGACCAAAAAUAAAUCCCUAAACUGAAUGUAAAUCAUCAAGUGUGCAAACGCGGGCACGCUCAGAAGCGGGCACCAGAAAGUCACAAGGAUGAUAGUAGGCAUUCUUCGACUGUAGUUUCAUUAGGGAACUGAGCUGAAGCGGAAACCCUUCAUACCGCAACAUCAGUCAUAAUGCAUUAGAUUCCCCACCCAUGACGUUAAUGUACGCCGACCAUAAGGUAGGUGGCAUACUGGAUCCUUCGGGCCUUAAGUAAUGCAAUUUCAGGAAUAUCUUACAGCAUGAAUAACCUUCAGCAAAAUCACAAAGAAAACCCAAGACAACACUGAAUGGCUACCUGGUGAAGAGCAUCCAAGUCAAGAAUAGAAAGCGGACGAAAUCCAACGAUAGUUAUCUCAAGGUGCCGCAAGCCUCAUGCGACCUCCUUGACCUUGAUCUUGCUGUGAGAGUAACUAGAGUUACAGUGCACUGAUCCCCUUCAAACUUGAACAUAUUCGAGGUGCGUAGCAUUACUUUAAUGCCGCCACUACGACCACUUAAUCAUAACUUCGCCUCCGCGCAAUCCAAAGAACACGCGGAAAAUGCCCGCUGCUGCUGUACCUGUCUCCAAGUGACCAAAUGUAGGGGGUUGGGAGGUAAGAGCCAGCGAUCAUAGACCCGCCUACGAAAAGAUGGGGGUCGCACACCCGACCUUCGUUGAGCGUGAUGCAAAAGGGGAUCUUCUAGCCCCCAACGAGCAUUGCAUGUAGUAGUACAUAAUCGACAAACAGUGCUGGGUAGGGAUCAGGAAAAAGGACGCAACCUAACACCAGUAUGUUCCCUGUCGCCCAGUAGCAAUAGCAGAGGAAAUCCAACACGAAAAGGUCCUCCGAUUUGACACCUUCGCAAGCAGCAAAACAAGUUCAACACUACCCUCAGUGCUAGCCCACACACAUUACGAGGGUGCGAUCAUUGAUGGUGCCAGAAAUAGGCGCGCAGCUCUCAAUUACCGCACUCAGACGCGACAUUCUCCAACUCUCAUCUUGCACCCUAGAGAAAAUGCAACAAGCGUGCUUGAGAGAAGAUAUAUAUAUAAAAAAAAAAAAAAAAAAAAAAAAAAGGUAGGCGUCAAAUCCACUGCACCACGCACUAGCCAGAAACACUCUCGGCCUGGCGACACCGACACCAAAAACAACGCAUCAUCCUCCACUGGCAUGGCUUUCAGAAAUGCCACCGCCGUAAUGAAAUCACCAUUCUGAAAUCUAAACCGAAACCCCUGCUUCUUUCAAAUCCUCCCGCUCACAAGCCCUCCAACACAAUGAGCCUCUCGCACGGGGCGGGAGACACAGUCGCGUGUAGCAACGAGCACAUGUAACGACGCGGGAUGGUGGUAAGAGGGGGGGGGGGGGGAGAAGAAAAGGCCACAAAGUAAAAGCAGACGGUAUUUGAAGGGUCUGAGGGACUGGCAGCAGCGGAGAAUAAGGCGGGAGGAGGAGGGACAUUAUUGACCGAGAGAGAGGGGCCGGGGGAGUAGUUGUAGUCGUAAUAGCCUAGCCUAGUCUAGCAUAGCAGCAGUGUGUGUGUGUGUGUGUCACGAUCCUAUCUUCUUCUUCUUUGCUGUAGAAUCGGCGCCAUUGCAACAACACUCACCCCCCCCCACCCGUCCUGUCGCGACCCUUGCGGUCGGAGCCAGGCUCCCGAUUCGUUCCCGAACCUCUGUUCCCCGCUUGGGUACGCCUGGUGUGGUCGGGAUCGCUUUCGGUUCCAUUGACGUUCUCAACGGUGAGCAAAUUCUGUGCAGGUGCUGCCAAUUCAUUGCGAAGCUCAAAAUCUGAUUUGGUUAGAAUUGAAGUGGCAAAAUAUUCAAAAUAGGUUCUGACUUUUUUUCUUCAUUUCAUUUUUCUUUUUUCCUUUUUUUCCCCACUUCUAUUGAUGUUUUAGUUACUUCAAAUUCAAUCUUUGUUGUCAAGUUGCAUGACUUGUAGCAAAUUGUUUGCUCCUCUUGCCUCUUGCAUGUUGUAUUGGUUUACUUGCAUGUCUCCUCUUGUAAAUUUAUUUGUAUGAAAAGUGUUGAAUUUUUAUCUCAAUCAAUCAGAAUAUAUAUAUAUAUAUAUAUAUACAAAAUACGAUAGGUGAAAAUUUUCAUUUUAUGCAAGGGACAUAAGGACAAACAUAUAAAAAGUAAGAGAUUAAAAAAAAUAGAAUAGGAACAAAAACUAUAUACAAGAAUAAGAAUGAAAUAAUACUUGGAUUAUUUUAAAACAUGUGUGAUACAUGAUUAAAGUGUCUUUCAUCUUAUCUAAUAGAUUACUACAACAAAAAAACUAAAUUGUGUUGUUAAAUCGAUUUUAAUAAUUUGGUCUAAAUUAAGACUUUGAUGAUGUAAAAUACAUAUGAACUCACUAUCCAACUAUCAAGGAUUAUAGAGAACUAACUCCUUAAAAUGAGCCUCAAAUUUUAAUUCUUAUAGCACAAGUUUGUGAUUUAUUGAUAUGGACUUUCUAGUAUGAACACACUGAUAAUUAGCUUAGCUUCCAAUGUCAAAUUGACAUAUGGACACUUAUCUUAUUAAGUCACAUGACAACUUGGUAGGUGGUAAUAACAAUAUAUUGACUCUUGGCUAUUAUGGGAGCUACAAGUUGUCAAUUAAUAUUGUAUUAUAUGAAUUCUUACUUGAGAAUGCACUAGACACAUAGUUGUGGAAGAUAAGCACAAAUGCAAUGACAAAAUCCUAUCAAGUCUAAUAGAGUUUUAAAUAAACCUUAAACAAUCUUUAAUAAUCCUAAUCAAACUUUAAUCAAUUCAAAAGAAAUUUAAAAGAAGUUACAAAGGAAACAUAAAGAAGUCAUAAUUAAUUCUAAAGAAUUUUUUUAAAAUUCUAAAAAUAAUAAAAAUAGAAUAUAUAUAAAAAUAAAAAUUGACUUAAAGAAAUAUUAAAAAUAGAGAAUUUUAAAGAAAUAAUAAAGAAUCAUAAAUACUAAAAACAAAAAGUCCUUAAUAAAUUCUAAAUAAAUUCUAACUAAAUCUUAGAUCAAAUCUUAAUAAAAUCCUAAUAAAAUCUUAAUGAAUCUUAAUCAAAUCUUAGAUCAAAUCCUAAUUAAAUCCUAAUCAAAUCUUAACCAAAUCUUAACCAAAUCCUAAUUAAAUCCUAACCAAAUCCUACACCAAAUUCUAAUCAAAUCCUAAAUCAUAACUAAAUUUUAAUCAAAUACUAAGCCAAAUUUUAAACAAAUCCUAAUCAAAUCCUAAAUCCUAAAUCAAUCCUAAUCAAGCCUUAAUCAAAUUUAAAUCUUAAAAAAAUACUUAAUAAAUCCUAUAAUAAAUUAAAAUUUUAAUAAUUAAUAAUUUAAUCAUUAAAUUUAAUUAAAUAUUUAUACACUUCUUAAUAACUAAGUUGGAAAUAAGCACAAAAAAAUUGAAGAAAAUUGAUCGUGCCAAAUAGAAGUUAAUUCCUAAAAUUUGCUUGGGUGUUGCUUGACUUUCUUCUUUAACCUUAAUGCUAAUAUUUUAGAGUCAAAAUCUCUUAAUUUUACCAUUCAAUAGGUCUCAAACUUUGUACAAUUGUUGGAAGCUAAAUUUUCUACUUGUAUGCAAAAUUUUAUUUGAAUGCAACUGGCGAAUUAAUAGAUAUCUUAAAAAUCCUCAUUAAUCCUUUAAAUUCCAAAUCUCAAGACUUCAAUAUGCUUGAUCUUUAAUAAACUAUGAAAAAAUCAUUAUAUCAUGCUCAAAAUUACAAUACAAAUUACAAAGUAUAAUUAUCAUUUAAAAUGAUAAUUUGAAUCACAAAAAUUUGAAUUACAAAAAUCAUUCAAAAAUAAUCUUAAUUUUGAAAAAUCUUUAUAAAGUUUUUAUACACUCAAAUCACUUGAAAUCAAUGCCCAAAGAACCUUUCUUCUAUUUGCUCUUAAAUCCCAUUCUUUGAUCAACCAAAAAAACUUAGAAUUAUUGUGAAUAUGCAUAUUUUUUAUCUUAGGAUUUGAUUUCGACAUUGGUUGACAACCGGUCCUCUUUGAGUAUCAAUUCUUGGUAAUUUGAGGUAAUUUUUGCUUAAAUCUAUUAUUUAACUUUCUUUUAAAGAUGCCUAAAUUAAUUAAUUAUCUCAUUUACUUUGAUUUGGCUCAUUUAUGCUACUACAAAAUAAAUAGAAAUCUCUUUUAUAAAUAAGAAACAUUAAGAUUAAUUUUUUUAUUACUUUUUUAUUAUUUAUCCUUAUCCUUCUAUUAUAUCUUUUUAUUAGACUCUUCUAUAAUAACAUUCGUAUUUUUUAUUUUUUAUCAUAUAGUCAUGUUACCACAUGAUACCAAUAAUGCAAUUUCAACCAUUUAUACAUUUAAUUAUAUAAUGUCUAAUAAGAAUCACACAUGUGUAUCUAUAUUUUUUUAAUACUUUUAUUUAAUGAUAUAUUAGAUUAUUAGAUUAUUAGACUAUCAUAUUAGAUUAUUAGAUUAUUAGACUAUCAUACUAGUCUAUUUUAAUAUAAUAAUUUCUAUCAUCUCCUUGAAUUUGCAAUGCUUUUCAUAAGUUAGUCUCUUAGUUAAAAUAUCCACAACCAUAUCUUCAAUAUUACAAAAAAGUAAGUUGAUCUUGCUAUUUUUAAUCUUUUUAUAAAUGAAGUGAUGUUGAAUUUCAAUAUUUUUAGUACAAGCAUAAAAUAUAGGAUUUCUUGAAAAAAAAUGUAAUUGUGAUUAUCAUUGAAAGUAUAUAGAAUCAUCUUGUAAAAAUCCAAUAUCUUUAAAUAACUUAUGAGAUCAAACUACUUCUUUUAUUGCAUCCGUAGUUGUCAUGUAUUAUUCUUCAAUGAUAGAUAAGACAAUUGUUGUUUGCUUCAUAUUGUUUCAAUUAAUAAUACUACUAGCCAAUAAAAUUGCAUAGCUAAUAGUAAAGUAUUGAAUGUCAAUAUCUCAAGCAUAAUGUACAUCAUAAUAACCAACCUCUUACAAACUUUAAGAGCUUCCAUAAUAUUGUAGCAUAUGAUCCUACUUGUCUUUUAAAUAUCAAAAUAUCUGCUUAUUAAUGAUUUAAUGUUGUAGAAAAGGAUUUAUUAUAUAUUGGCUAAUAACUUGUAUUACAUAUGUAAUAUUGGCUAAAGUACCUAUCAUUGCAUAGACUAAGUUACUAAUUAUACUUAAAUAUGGAACAUCUUUGAUUGCUUUAAUUUUCUUAGGAAUUUGUGGACUCAUAUUUCUUGAAAAUUUUUUAUAACAAUCCAAAGACGUACUCAAAGGUUUACAAUCUUCCAUAACAAAUCUUUCAAGUAUACUCUCUAAAUAUUUCAAUUGACUGAAGUAAAUAACGUGAUUCCUUAUAUUUCUUAUAACCUACAUGCCUAAAAUAUAAUAGAUUUCUUCCAAAUCCUUCAUCUCAAAUCUUUUGACUAAGUAAUCCCUUAUCUUCAAAAGAAGUUUCUUAUUGUUGUAGAUCAUCUACGUAAAAUAUAAUGAUAAUGAAUCCAUUAGUAAUUUUUAUAAAUUUAGGAACUAUAUGGCUUUUCUUCAAACUUUGUGAAUUAAAGUAAUCAUCUUUUUUCUUGUACCAUGCCUUUAAAAAAAAUUUAAGUCGAUAUGGAGUUUUACAAAGCUUACAAAUCAAAGAAUCUUUAUCUUCUAAUAUGUAACCUUUAUGUCAAUCCAUAUAUAUCUCUUCUUUAAGAUCUCUAUUCAAAAAUAUCGUCUUCACAUCCUUUUGAUGAACCUCCAAAUUAUCAACUACAACAAAUCUAAGAAGUAUACAAAUUGAGGUCAUUUUUGCAAUCAAAGAAAAAAAUUUAAUGUAA
rnacentral:lncRNA from 1 species